rnacentral:rRNA from 1 species
AGCCGGUACUCGCGAAUCAUCUAGNUUAGAGUUUGAUCCUGGCUCANGCGAUGAACGCUUGGCGGCUGUGCCUAAUACAUGCAAGUCGAGCGAAUGGAUUGAGAGCUUGCUCUCAAGAAGUUAGCGGCGGACGGGUGAGUAACACGUGGGUAACCUGCCCAUAAGACUGGGAUAACUCCGGGAAACCGGGGCUAAUACCGGAUAANAUUUUUGAACUGCAUAGGUUCGAAAUUGAAAGGCGGCUUCGGCUGUCACUUAUGGAUGGACCCGCUGUCUGCAUUAGCUAGUUGGUGAGGUAACGGCUCACCAAGCAACGAUGCGUAGCCGACCUGAGAGGGUGAUCUGGCCACACUGGGACUGAGACACGGCCCAGACUCCUACGGGGAGGCAGCAGUUAGGGAAUCUUUCCGNAAUGGACCGAAAGUCUGACGGAGCAACGCCGCGUGAGUUGAUGAAGGCUUUCGGGUCGUAAAACUUCUGUUGUUAUGCGCACAGAAACAAAGGUGCUAGUUGAAUAAGCUGGCAACCUUGACGGUACCUAACCCAGAAAAGCCANGGUUAAACUANCGUUGGCA